AUACGGAGGGUGCAAGCGUUGUCCGGAUUUAUGGGGUUUAAAGGGUGCGUAGGUGGUUUUUUAAGUCAGUGGUGAAAGCCUACAGCUUAACUGUAGAGGUGCCAUUGAUACUGGGGAACUUGAGUAUGGACGAGGUAGGCGGAAUUUGUGGUGUAGCGGUGUAAUGCAUAGAUACCACAAGGAACACCGAUAGCGAAGGCAGCUUACUGGGCCAUAACUGACACUGAGGCACGAAAGCGUGGGGAGCGAACAGGAUUAGAAACCCUAGUAGUCC
rnacentral:rRNA from 1 species